rnacentral:rRNA from 1 species
CCUACGGGAGGCAGCAGUGAGGAAUAUUGGUCAAUGGACGAGAGUCUGACCCAGCCAAGUAGCGUUAAGGAUGACUGCCCUAUGGGUUGUCAACUUCUUUUAUACAGGAAUAAAACGAGGCACGUGUGCCUUUUUGCAUGUACUUUAUGAAUAAGGAUCGGCUAACUCCGUGCCAGCAGCCGCGUUAAUACGGAGGAUCCGAGCGUUAUCCGGAUUUAUUGGGUUUAAAGGGAGCGUAGAUGGGUUGUUAAGUCAGUUGUGAAAGUUUGCGGCUCAACCGUAAAAUUGCAAUUGAUACUGGCAGUCUUGAGUACAGUUGAGGUAGGCGGAAUUCGUGGUGUAGCGGUGAAAUGCUUAGAUAUCACGAAGAACCCCGAUUGCGAAGGCAGCUUACUAAACUGUGACUGACAUUGAUGCUCGAAAGUGUGGGUAUCAAACAGGAUUAGAUACCCCUGUAGUC